rnacentral:rRNA from 1 species
GAUGAACGCUAGCGGCAGGCCUAAUACAUGCAAGUCGAACGGAUAUAUGUUUUUCGGAAUAUAUAUUAGUGGCGCACGGGUGAGUAACACGUACAUAACUUGCCCUCAAGCGGGGGAUAGCCUUGGGAAACUGAGAGUAAUACCCCAUAGAAUUAUUGGACGGCAUCGUUUGAUAAUUAAAACUACGGUGUUUGGGGAUAGAUGUGCGUCUGAUUAGCUAGUUGGUGAGGUAACUGCUCACCAAGGCGACGAUCAGUAGGGGGCGUGAGAGCGUGGCCCCCCCACACGGGUACUGAGACACGGACCCGACUCCUACGGGAGGCAGCAGUAAGGAAUAUUGGUCAAUGGAGGGAACUCUGAACCAGCCAUGCCGCGUGAAGGAUGACGGCCCUCUGGGUUGUAAACUUCUUUUGGAUGGGGCGAAAAAAACGGGAUUUAUCCUGGACUGACGGUACCAUCAGAAUAAGCACCGGCUAACUCCGUGCCAGCAGCCGCGGUAAUGUAGUCGUG